rnacentral:tRNA from 1 species
GCCACGGUAGUGUAGUGGUUAGCAUGGAGGCCUGUGGAGCCUUAGACUCGAGUUCGAAUCUCGGCCGUGGCC